UACGGGGGGGCAAGCGUUGUUCGGAAUUACUGGGCGUAAAGGGCUCGUAGGUGGCCAACUAAGUCAGACGUGAAAUCCCUCGGCUUAACCGGGGAACUGCGUCUGAUACUGGAUGGCUUGAGUUCGGGAGAGGGAUGCGGAAUUCCAGGUGUAGCGGUGAAAUGCGUAGAUAUCUGGAGGAACACCGGUGGCGAAGGCGGCAUCCUGGACCGGCACUGACACUGAGGAGCGAAAGCCAGGGGAGCAAACGGG
rnacentral:rRNA from 1 species